UACAGAGGUCUCAAGCGUUGUUCGGAUUCAUUGGGCGUAAAGGGUGCGUAGGCGGCCCGGUAAGUCCGCUGUGAAAGUCAAAGGCUCAACCUUUGAAUGUCAGCGGAUACUGCCGGGCUAGAGUCCGGAAGAGGCGAGUGGAAUUCCCGGUGUAGCGGUGAAAUGCGCAGAUAUCGGGAAGAACACCCGUGGCGAAGGCGGCUCUCUGGGACGGUACUGACGCUGAGACGCGAAAGCGUGGGGAGCGAACAGG
rnacentral:rRNA from 1 species